rnacentral:tRNA from 1 species
AAAAAGUUAGUUUAAAUUUUAAAACAUUAGCUUGUCAAGCUAAAAAUAUUAAUUCAAUACUUUUUA